UCUGGGAGGAGAGGACUCAUCUGUGUCACUUCCUCUCCAAACAUAAGCAACAGCCAGCAUCUCUGCCAAGUCUCGGCACUGGGCCUGCCGGUCCGGAGCUCAGUUCCCGGGGACAGCGCCUGGUUCCCUGGCUCCUCGAGCUCCACCAGCCAGCCUCACCCAGAUGGGGAGUCAUGUCCACACAGGAGCCACUUCCAAGCGGUAGAACCAGGCUCCGAGGCCACCUCACUUUCUGCAGGAAAUCCAAGGAAACCCAGCGCCUGCUAAGUAGCACAAGGAUAAAAACUGCUUUCCACAAACCAAGAGUCGGAGGGUUUUUGAAGUUAAGGAGACAAAACAUGAGUGCAAAACAAGCAAGUACAGGUCCCACCGCCUGGGAACCGUGACAGGGUGCCCGGUGGGUUUCAGGUAUGUGACCACUCCAGUGAGUCAGGGGACAGCCAAGCGGGUUCAAAAGUGUUCCGGGGCAAUCGCUUCUCCGGAGCCAAGACGCUGAAUCAGAGGGAAGAAGGAAUGAAAACAGGGUAGAUUCUGAAGGAAUGCUAUCAAGUCCAAAGCUAUACAUCUUUAGAAGUUCCUUAUUGCAUAGGCCUGAACUGCCAAAUGUAGAAGCUACGACACAUUGCUGCUCCAUUUCUUGACCUAUAAAAUGACUGAAAUCGUGUGUUUUCACACGAUAAAAAGCUGCAUGCAUAAUGUAAAAACAGAAAGAAAUAAGACUUGGAGUCAAAACAACCAAGAUCAGAAACACUCUUCACGCCACAUGAAACUCAACUUCAAAAGCCACUACAUUUCCCACAGGGACUCUUGCUCCUGGCGACACAUCUGGACCAGCCACCUGAGGAGGCGAAAGGGCAACUGGAUCUCCCUGCAAGUGUUUCUGGCAGCAACUCCUGUGUGGCAUUUCAGGCCAUGAGUCACAAUUCCACUGGAUGGCAUUUGGGCUUUAUAUUUAACUAUAGGCCCGGUGCAC